rnacentral:lncRNA from 1 species
GUUUGGCGGGAUCUUUGUCUCUUCCUGGCGUUGGCACAGGAACUUGGGAUCCGUCUCCUCUUUCGCCUCCUCCACUUUGGGAGCCCCGGGCUACUCUUUCACAGCCCCUGUUGCCCUGUGAUCUGUACGUCCUUGGGGACGCACAGUUAAGAUGCCAGGACAUCCUGGAAGCUGGGAAAUGAUUUCUUCCAGACCAUGGCUGGAGAAGGAAAGAAGAUUUUUGCAGUGGCAGGACCAAGGUCAAAUGAGUUGUAGCCAAGUCUACAGUAAGAUGUGGUAGUAUUCUGUUUUGAAGCGAGGACCAUGAUUGGCAAGCUUGCCAUUUGGUCAAGUGCUUACCCUCUGAAGAUGUCUUCCUUGCUCUUUGCCUCCAGCUGGGUGUCACAAACUCAACUGGAUUCUAAGGCUUUCAUGAAUGCACUUAUGUUUCCUGUGGCAGCUGCAUUAUGUUGUGGGGGAUGUGCAUGCAGAACCUCCCAUUCUGUCGUCUUGCUUAUGUUACUCUCCUUUAUGUUUCACUUUCGCAAAUGAAUGUCAAGCUGGUGAUUUUUAGAUUCAAAAAUUCUAAAAUAAAUUGCUGAAAUUUCCACAUUAUGUAAGCAAUUAAUAAAAUGUCUUGUAGGUGCUACAUAUUUAUUAAAAUUUUUGGUUGUAAUUUUAAGCUCACUGCAGGCAGAAAGGAAUCAUUAACAUUUAUAUUCUUUUUUUUAGUCUGUAUCUAAAUGAUGGUAUAUUUUAAUUCCAGAUAUUUACUUUAUACUGCAGUAAUGCUCGUCAUAUUUUGCAAAAUUUAUGUUGUUCUUUUAUUUGGAAAUAUAAGGCUUUUUUAGCUCCUGAAAUCUAUAUUAUAGGCAUAUAAUUUUAUUAUAUUUUGUGGUAAGAAGUGCAGCAACAUAUUGAGAACAUAAUAAAAUUAUCCUGUCUUUUUAAUGAUUAUUUAUUAAAUUCUUCUCAUUAGAGCCUGUUAUUAAUGAUUGUAAUGUAUUUUCGGUAUAAUUUUACUGCAAUUUAUUAAAUUCUAAUGACUUAAU